AGGGGAGAAAAGGGCCUCCGGGCUCAGAGCACGCUCAGCCUCCCGGUUUCUACAGCCACUUCCAGGGCCUGCUGAAGAAAGAAAAAAAUGUAACAGGACCCAGAUGAAAUAAUUAAAUCAAGGGGGACAUGUCAUUAUGAAGAAUGCCAUAUAUCUGGGAGAAAUUUAGGGCAAGAAAUGUGGCUGGACUUCUGAAAAGAGGGACGAGAAGCAGAAGCUGGAAAAUCAGAACCCAGACAACGGGAGCUACUUCUCGGGUGAGAGCUGUCAGUCCUGCUUCUCUCUGCAUCUCCACGUACGAAUGACCCUCCUUAUUUCCAAGUACAAGGACCCGGGUAGGGUUACCUUCCCAGCCUUUGGUGGAUGAAUUUGGGAAAAGGGCCAGGCACUCAUAGCUCCGCCCCUUUCUCCUCCCUGUCUUCCAUGGAGCCCCUCAGACAAGUCCCCAAUCUCCCUUCACUAUGUAUGUGAGCCAGCCACCAGCUGUUCCAGCUGCCUCUGCAGCCUUUGUCUCACUGGGGUCCUGCAAGGCCACACUAAGCCAUGUUUAUAAAAAGCCCAUGUACUUCUCUUCCUCUCCCAUAACCUCCUCCACCCUCAAUUCACUCUGAAGCGAGGCAGAAAAGGGGGAGGCGGUGCUCACUGGGCCUCCAUUGUGCAGUCACAUGGGGCCAGCCAGUAGUGGGUGGUCUCAUCCUACUUUCCAGGUCAAGGAUUAACAGAGACUCUGGGUUCUUUCCCAACUUGCUUUGAGAUUCUGACUGGCCCAAACUAGGCUAGUCCACCUUGGAUUUAAUCAGCUCUGCCAGGUACCUGGAGUCACCCAGUCUGAACAGAGAAGAGAGUUGUUGGAGGAAGAGAAUUGAGGCUAAGCAGAAGCCUCCAGGUUUCUAUUACAGCUAGGCGUUGUCAUCUAGCUGCACCUUAGGGAGAAGACGGUCACAGCCAAUAUCGGAGCUGAGUUUCAUACCCAGGUCGGACUGACACUCAUGGUCAGGUUUGUAACCAAGACAGAGUUAUAAGACCCCAGAAGGUGACCCUAAACUGGGUGUUCUUCAGUUGGCUUUGAAUAGAGUGCUUGGUACCAUAUAAAUGUUUUCAACAGUAAUGCUGAAAGCAAAGCUAAGAUUUUUUCUUUUUUAUCCUCACCCAAAGACAUUUUUAUUUUUCCUUGCUUUUAGAAGCAGAGGAAAAGGGGAGAGUGAGAGAGGGAGAGAAAGAAGAGAGAGAAAGAUCGAUGUGAGAAAGAUACAUCUAUUGGCUGCCCUCUAGUACAUGUCCUCUCCGGGGAUUGAACCCAAAACCUGGGUAUUGUGUCCUGACCGGGAAUCCAACCUCUGACCUUUUGGUCCAUGGGAUGAGGCUCCAACCAACUGAGCCACACUGUCCAGGGCAAGGCUAAGAUUUUUCCUUUCACUUUUCAGUGGCGUCUCUUUUCUUUUCUUUUCUCUUUCUGGGCUCCCGAGAAUUGUGCAGAUGCGGAGACUAACAGAAAGCACCCCGUACUUGAUGACAGAAGGUCUUCACUUGGCAGGUACCCUGGUACAACCGCCAAAAUUCAUCAAAGCGAACAACCAAGACUUGUGCUUUUCAUCGUAUAUUAAAUAUACAUCAAUAAAAAUGAGAAAAGAAAGGGUGGACAUUGAGAAAGAUUCGUAUCCAUGAGGUGGAAUGAGUUCACCUGGGCAUAAUGACGUAACGAGAUCACUGAAUUAUGUAUUUAUUUUAAAAACAUGAGGCAAGAACGUUGCCGAGCCCCUGAACGGCAGAGCUGGAGGCGCGUCCAAGCCUGUUUUAAUUUAAGUGGAAUGGCUCCAACCUGAGUGUGAAUUUGAGACUGUGUUUGCUUGUGUUUCUCUAUUUUUUCAAAUUACUUCCGUAUGUCUCAUCUCGUCUCUUUCCCCCACUUCUGGAUGAGAAAACUGAGGUCGAGGGCUGGAAAGGACACGUCCACGUUCACGUUAGCAAAUCGUCAUCGGAGCCAAAACUCAAACCCAGGCCCCUCCGCUGUUCCCUUCCCAGCCCGGAAUCCCCACCACACCUGCUGAGCUUACUGACGUGACUUGAGCCGAUCUGUCCUGAUGAUUCGAGUCAGCCUCCUGGCAUUAUUCAGGUGGACACAGUUCAACUCAUAGUGGAGUAUGAAACAAAACAAAACAAAACAAAACCAAAACCCUGGGCAAGGCGUGAGAAGACCUGGCCAUCCAGCCCGCUGCCCCCCAUUAGGGUCCCCGGCACUCUCGAAGUUUCAGUCCUCCUUGUGAAAGCAAAGCAAC